rnacentral:rRNA from 1 species
GGGGAGCAAGCGUUGUUCGGAUUUACUGGGCGUAAAGGGCGCGUAGGCGGCCAGCACAGGUCAGUUGUGAAAUCUCCGAGCUUAACUCGGAAAGGUCAACUGAUACUGUGCGGCUAGAGUGCGGAAGGGGCAACUGGAAUUCUUGGUGUAGCGGUGAAAUGCGUAGAUAUCAAGAGGAACACCUGCGGCGAAGGCGGGUUGCUGGGCCGACACUGACGCUGAGGCGCGAAAGCCAGGGGAGCGAACGGG